UACGUAGGGUGCGAGCGUUGUCCGGAAUUAUUGGGCGUAAAGGGCUCGUAGGCGGUUUGUCACGUCGGGAGUGAAGACUCGGGGCUUAACCCCGAGCCUGCUUCCGAUACGGGCUGACUAGAGGUAUGCAGGGGAGAACGGAAUUCCUGGUGUAGCGGUGAAAUGCGCAGAUAUCAGGAGGAACACCGGUGGCGAAGGCGGUUCUCUGGGCAUUACCUGACGCUGAGGAGCGAAAGUGUGGGGAGCGAACAGG
rnacentral:rRNA from 1 species